CUGUAUGCAACACAACCACAACAAAAAUAGUCUUUGGUGCUGCGCUAACACUGGCGAGACUCCCCACCUUCUGAAAAAUGAGCAGUUCUGGUAAUGUGCAGAAUUCAACGCAGCCCAUGAAAUAGAAAACAGCACAGAGUUGGACGUUUAUGUGUCGAUGGUAAAACAAGGUUAUUGUUUGUGCUUGGAUGCUGAUGGGCUACUUCUUCUAUUACCUUUACAGGAAGCAGGUUCUCCGGUGGAGCCCAGAGCUGCUUAAUGAGAUGACGGAGAAACGUCCAGGACGUGGUUUAAAUGUGUGUGAAGGACGUUCCCCUGUGAGCAGUGUAGAUACUGUAUGCAGCACUGGGAUCAGUGGGUUACAGGUAAUGAAGCGACUGAGCUCCAUCCAACAGUGGUUCUAUUAAAACCAGGUGAAAUCCAUCAGGAGCGGCCGUUCACACAGACUCCAUUAAUCUGUCUCUAUGUACUGCUGCUUCUUUUAUUGACUCCCGUUUGAUUCUGCUGCUUCUUUGCCAGUGGAGUCAGUCCAGUGUGUGUGGCGGCCUGGCUGCUGCUAUCUGACUGGUGCCAAGCGCCAACACUUGAGCUUUUUAUGGUCAGAAGCUGCUGUGGAGUGUGAACGUGUUGAGCAGCUCAGGGAACGUGUCCAGGUAGUUUCCCCAGCGCUUCAUGGACAUGCACUAAUCAGCCACGAGACUUCCACCACCUGGUGCAGAGAGAGGCUCGGCCGCUGGCAAAGCACCGGUGAGUCCCAUACACCAACUUAAACAAGAGAGUUAAUGUCAGUUACAGCUGACUACGUGUCCUAUGAACGUUAUUGGAGGUAAGUGUGGUUCUGUUCAGACACGGCAGGGUUAGGGUUAGGGUUUUUUCAUGAGGCUGUGUUAUUAUAGACUAGGUAGUUUACAUUUACCGCUGAUGCCAUAUUAUGUGGCAUUUUAUGCGAUGAUCAUGUAUAUUAAAUAUGGGAGACUCGUCGACCCGAUGAUGAACCUGAGAGCCGCCCUCGUGCCUCGAACUGAACCUGCCUCCUCAGGUCCCGUCCUCUGGUUUCUCUUGGUUUGUAUGUGUGGGAGCACGUGAUGGCUUGCUGGGCAGCGCAUGUUCUCCAGCCUCUGCUUUCACGUCCACUGGUGGAGUGGCGCCUCCUGGCCAUAAAUCCUCCUCAGGUUGUAUUACGGCGUUUGGCACCCACGUCUCCGGGGGAACGGGACACUCAUUGCUGCGCCAUAUUUUUUGUGAUAUUGAUUAAGUUGUAAAUGUGUUUAUGAUUUUUAGCUUCAGUAAAAGCCUUGCGACAGAUGAGGUGGUGAUAUAAAUUAAUGUUAUUGAUGUUCACACUGUAAGCUUGUGUGUGCCAGCCACUCAGCACACAGUGGCAGGUCCAGCCCAGACGUAUGAGGCUCACUGAUGCAGGUGUUUACUAGAACGCGGCCGCGUGCGUGUGCUGCUUUGUGAAGGUUGUGAGAGCUCAUUGAGCAGAGCAUCGCACGAUAACAGUGGCAGAUGUAGCAGCGCAAAGCGAAUCGAUCUCCUGUAUCCGUAUGCAGAAGUUGUGAGUAAUCUAUUUUUACUGAGCUAGUUCUGUUUCACUCCUAAGAAAUCCUAAUGUUUUCAUUUUGGCCUUUGAAGCGAUGUUUCUAUAAUAAACAACGCGCCACGCGAGCGUUGACCUUUUAC
ensembl:lncRNA